UUUUUUUUUCCUUCCAUUGAACCAAGUAGACAACCUUUAAACUAGUCUUUCGUCUGGUUGGUUACCACAGACGCUGCAGAGGAACUUUGACUGUGUGUGGAACUCCUUCACCAGCGUUAAAUUAGAAUGCAGGAACUUGAAUGAACUGGUACUUUGUUGUACUUUUCUUCAAAUGAGUAAACAAUUGUAAAAAUGGGGGUUGGUGGAAAGAAGCAUAUUUAAUGUCAGACCUCAGGACACACACACUCACACACACAGAGACACCCCUGUGUCUGUCUGUCAACUCUGUGCUCGUAAUCACAUCCUAUUCCCUGGCGUUCCCGUACACACAACCCCCUGCCUCGCUACACUGUGGAGGGAGAGAAAUGAGAGAUCCCUCCAAAUGCUCUCUAAGAUUAAGGCUUUGUGUUUUACAUGUGUUAUCGUUGCUUGCCUUCGUUAUCCCCCCCCCCCUUGCUUUUGUCUGAGCCUCCUUCUCCUUCACCUCCUCCUCCUCUAAUUAAAAUCUUGUCCCUUUCAUUCCUUCGCACACCUUUCUUCCACCUGUGAGAGCAAGGAGAGGGAGGGAGGAGAAGAAAAAGGAAGGAAGGAGAGAAGAAGAAGAAAGAUGAAAAAGCACACCACACCGAGCGAGUGGCGGAGCGUUGUGGAAUACGACGUCUAAGGGGAGGAUGAAGGCGCUUGUCACGUCUCAUCACACAAAAGCUUCAGUACUGUCUCCCCUCUGGCCCCACACCUUGGCCUCCUGGUGUGUGUGAGGUGAGGGCGACCUGGCACUGUGCCCCCCUGCUCUCCCCUUCCUCUCCCCCCGUGUGGUCAGCCUGUGUUUACAUCUGUCUGGCCUUGGAGCCUGGAACUUGGAACCAUGUGUCUGUGCAUCUCUACAUCACCAGGACACUGAAGCAGCAGCAGGACGUGCUGGGUGAAUACUGUACUCUACCUGAUGAAUUACAGCCUCACACGGCUGAGACGGUCCUGGUGUGUAACAAACAUGUCAAAUACAAAUGCCAUUUCCAGAAAAGAAGGGUGUUGAGGAGACCUGGACGGGGCGCUAUCCUAACCCAUCAUAACCCAGUAACAACCAUCAGGGAUGGGUGCAGUCUGCGCAGGGUGAGGCCCGGCUGGAUGUACAACAUGGUGGAUGUCAGGAUGUUUGAAUGACAGAUGUCAGCACGCUACGAUGUGAAAACAGCAGUUAAGUCUUUUACGUGUGAGGUCGCACCUUCUCCUUGCACUGAAGGUCCUGCGCACUGAAUAUUUGAGUGUUGGAUGAUUUUGAUCCACACUGAGCAAGGAUGGAAAUUGCUGAAAGGCGUCAGGUUAUUGUGAUUACUUCCCUGCCGUCUCUUUGGUCCAUUUAUCUCAGAGGUACUUGGCGGCAGAAUAGCGGUAAUGUAUUUUAAUGCAGCUUCUACAUGAUAAAAGUUGACUGGCUGCUGCUUGUGCCACAGUUCAGUAUUCAUCCCCCCACAUUUCGAUGUCUUCCUAUGCACCGCUGGGCCUCAUAACAUUAAACAUUCAGGAGUAACAAAUGAAAGAGUCUCUUAAAAGCUCUAACCAACAGGCUUUUACUAGCCUUCCAGGCUACAUUCAGAUAAAAAAAGGGAGAGAAGACAGAAGUGGUCUAGACAGCAGGAAAUCCAAACUCUGAAAGAAUACAGCUAAAGUGAAAUGUUUUCCCUUUUGGUGGACAGGACUGUAGUGUAUACCAUAUACAUACAUACACACACACAUAUAUAUAUAAUCUAUAUAUAUAUAUAGGGUUUAUUGCUUUAGAAAUUGAAUUGAUGCCACCAUGGAGAUGCAAUAUUCAGAUCUUCUGGGGGCUGCUGGAGCAAGGCUGGUCGACUGUAUGACAGGUGACUGAAGGAUGAAAAUGUUGCAGAGCUUUUGAUGAAUGGUAUCAUCAAAUACUUUACCUGUCCCUGACGCUUAGCAUCAUCUGCCGCGAUGUCAAGCAGCAGCAGCAGUGAUGAAUUUUGCCAGGGAGAUGUGGGAAAUAUGAAAGUCCUCGCUGGUUUAAGUUAAAAAAUCAAAUUAGUGAAAAAAAGACAUUAUCCAAAGAGCUGCCUUUCUUUCCAUCUGUCUUCGUCUGUUAGCACCUGGUGUCCUCUAGGUGUCACUAGAGAAGUUGAUUGACCAAACUUGAAUGGAACCAGACAAGUGGAGUGAGUUUUCCUGAAGAUGUUGUUUCUUUUAUUCUACAGAUGAAAAAACAUCUUCCAGUAAAGUCUGCAAGUGCAGUUGUCUAGAUUAAUUCUCCUGAGGAAACCAUGACCUGGAUGACUGAGAACCUACACAGAAUUAACCUGAGUGAGCAGAGCGUGAAAAGUAAAGCUGCAGCUUCUCCUGCGCUCUGACAGCCGCCGUCCUGUUGCUGUGGUGAUUUCCUCUCCCAGAGGAGACGUCCACGGCCUGUUUACAUCCUCGACUCCUACUUAUAAAUGUUUCGAGAGUUGGUCUGGAUUCCUGUCUACCUUGGACCUCAGCCUUUGGCCCAGGAUGGAUUUGGCUGAAUCUGCUCCCUUGGAUCAGUGGUACUAUUCCAGCAGAGCUGGUUUGAGCUUUUCACAGCCACCGACGCUGAGGACCUGGUUUCUCUCCUCCCUGACUUUUAACUUUAGUUUGACGUCGUAAGAACAGCUCCCAGUCAGAGACGCAAACAGACAGACUGAGGUGGAGAGAUGGAAGGUAAACAGAAGGUGAUCUCUCAGACGUAAAUAUGAAAGACAAGCAUCGACAUUAAUAUCAAUCCAGACUCCCAGAAGACCUUGCUGUCGUACCGGUGCAUUGGCACUGCUGAAGGUGGCCCCCCCUCCACUGAUCCUGGGUGUAUGUGGCCUAAGAUGGAGGGGCAUGUGGACUGUCCAGUGUAACCCCACCCUCUUCAAAGAUUGGACCCAGGGAUGAUAACAACACUAAGAAGGACUAGAAUUGGAACCACCUUAAUCCAUGUUUGGGUCCCAAACCACCCGUUGAGAAACACCAGAGAAAGACCUGAGGUGAUGCAAAAAUGGAAGGAGUGGUUUCGGAAACUGUGACGCAACGCUUUGUCAGCGCUGGGUGCAACACAGGGAGCUGGGAGAGUACUGCUGCUGCUGCCGCCGCUGCUGCUGGAGACACACAGGACACAGCAGAACAGGGGUGGUGCUGUACCUCUGAAUCCUCACUUCUGGCCUCGAGGUUGGCACACAUGGGUGUCCACGUGAUGACCACCGUGGUGACACCGGGUUUGACCGGUCUUGGCCCACACAGUGACACCAACUGUGCCAAUUUACCAUCAACUGGACGGUAAGCGGCAGCGACACAUGCGCUCACUGCCACCGAUGGAGACCAGAGGCAGCUGAUCAAGGCCAAGUCAAGUCCCUGUCAUCCCUGUCUGGACAAAGGUCCUGGUUAGUUGCCUUGGAAACUAGCAUAUGACUAUUAGGAGAGACACGCUGGUGAAAGCGCAAGGAAGCCUGCCUGGUAAAGGGUAACACAGGGUGCAGUGAGUGUUGGCUGCACCGCCAGGAGAGCAGAGGUCGGUCUAUCAGUGACACCGCAGCAGCCUCAUAAAAGGCAAUAGAGCAACUCUACAGGGCAUAAUUCGAUCACAACAGAGCCGUGGUGAAAACAGAGACGGAGCUUGGCAACUUAAAGGCAAAAGAAAGCAGAUGAAGGCGGUGCUACAGUAAAUGUUUGCUCAAUUUGUCAACCUGGGCAAUGGAAUGCAGCACCCCACAGGCAUGGAAUGGAAUUGCAGACAGUAGGGGUGGAGAACGUGCAUGUGUAGACACACACACACACACACACAGUCCCUCUUUGUGUGUGUGUGUUUGAAACGUUCGGAGCCAGCAGUGGAAAUGUCACAAGGUCGCUGGCAUGAUGGCGUAUUAAUUAGAUCCAUCUAACUCAGAGUGACAGCAGAUGAACAGGAGCUCUUCAUCUAUCAAUAUUCACAUCCCGAGAAGCAGAAGGAAAAUUCAACACAAGUGAAAAUUCAUUUAGAGUCUUUAUCAUCUCCAUCACAAAGCACAUGAUCCAUGAGUGGAAGAGGGAAAUCAAGGACUCUUUCUCGCUUUAAUCUGCUGAAACAAGUGCUUUGCCUGGCUCUGGCAUCCCUGUGUCUCAUUUUAAGAGGGCAGCGUUUUUGUUGCCUCACAUCCCCUCCGCCGCUCUGGGCAUGUACACAUUAUUAAGCUGCUCAGGCCUCUCACCAGCCUCAGACCUCCACCCCUCUACCUCCUCGCUGCCCUCCCGCCCAGGUCCCCAGAGAUAAUCAAGGUAUUACAAAUGAAAAGUCAGAGCCAUAAAUCAGGAACCUCCCUCCCUCUCCUCCUCUCCACAGGUACUUUCACCGUUCUCUCUUGCCUCGCUUUUCUUUGCUGUUUGCUACCAUUUUUGUCCAACCUGGACAAACAGUGGCACAGAGCGCCAGAAAAAAAGAAGAGUUAAAAAUGGAAGAGAUAGAAGGGAGAAAUGGGGAACUAAUUAGAAGAAGAGGGGGUGAGUAAUGUGGGAUUUCCACCAAAUGACGACAGCAGUUGCCCAAUGUCAUCCAUAAUACUCACAAACAUCCCUCUCUCUUGCUCUACAUAAAUACAUAAAUGUUCUCCCCACCAGGACAGUAGAACUGAUGAAGCUUCUUGGAUGAGAGGCGAAACGUCUUCAAUUUACUUGAAUCCUCUGGCAUUGAUGACACAGCGUCUGCUCCCGGCUCCUGCUGCUCCCUCUGCUCCCCUUCUGAAAUACACACAGACCGACUGAUUCCCUGGAAGUGCUGGUGACUGAGACGGGCGCCCUCCCUCCACCUUUUUUGAAAACGCCACAGCGGUCAGAAGCUGAGAAGAACUGGACGAGGACUGUGUCAUGUCUUCAGAUGUUCAUGACAUUAGAUGAAAAGUUGCUGCUGUUGUGUCAAAGUAAAGACAGGGGUGGGUGGGGAGCUGGCGGUGGAAGAAAGGGGGGCAAUAAGGCCAAUCCAGGUCUCAGACUUACUUUGCAGCAGCUAAUGAAAGAGGAAGGAGGGAAGGAGAGAAAAGGGGAAAGAAUAGACGGAGGGAGGGAUGGAGGAAGGGAGGUCUGUCUCCCCCCUCCCCAGCCUGUCAGUCAGUCACAGAGGGAGAGAACGACAGGCCACAAUGGGGCCCUUCAGUGCCUGGCUGAAAGUUGUAAUUUAGCAUGAAGAGCCAUCGAGGGGCGAGCCUAAAUAUAGCUGCACAUAUACAUUGUGUCUUGUAGAGAGAAUAGCAAUUAACAGCCAAUUAAAUGAAUGGCUGGGGUCAGCAGCAGCAGAAAACUAAUGGUGGGUGUGUUGCUGCGCUACCGGAUAAUCCAAAGAGACAAAAAGAGAGGCUGGGGAGCGGGGAGAGGGAGCGUUCCUCCAUGUUUUCUCUUUUCUUUUGAGCAAGGCAGCAUAAUGAGAUUUGAAAGGCUCCAAUUAUCUGUGUCACCUGAGCUUAUGUAUACAGUGAGUGGCUGCCAUGUCAAAGCACACCGAGGUAUAUAAUAACUAUAGUGUGCGUACAUGUCACCCUGCGUUCAUUCAUUCAACCGUUACUGUCUUUUCGUCCGUCUUGGUGGAUCGGGUCGGAAACGACGGGAAACAGUGUGUUUAAAGAGUUUGGGUGCAAAAAAGAAGGGGAAAGAACUGCAUCUAGUCACGCUGUGUGUGUCUGGGAUUUAUUCCCGUCACUCCCGUCCAGAUUUGACUGGCCAGUAGGUGACAGCCUUUCUAAGUCACAGCAGUAGCCGAACACAACAGAACAAGUCCCCCUCUAAUUGCCUUGCCUUUGAAAAGGCAACUCUUCGCUCCACAAAACAAGACGAGUCAUUAACGCGGUUCUGGCAGACACCGCCACCAACCCGCAGCAGCUGAUAACACCUUGUUCAGAGCCAGUGAUCAAGGCAGAAUCAUCUCCUCCUAACCCCCAUCUCCUCUGCAACUCCACCUGCGUAAUUGCUGCACCUAACCUUUUCAGUGCUGCCUCCGUUGGGAGUCAGCCAGCCAGCCCAAUUGGGUUUAAGGUAUUAAUAGAAUCUCAUUUCACGGCUCCAUCAGAUAAAACAAAGGUUGGGUUCUACCGGGCGAGUUUGAUCUUAUUAACGCAAGUGUUGAGAAGGUAAGGCUGCACUGUGAACUCAGGGAGGUGUGUUCAUGGCAGACAGGGCCAUGCUGGGGGUGUUGACAGAAUCAUUUUGGGGAAUGUUAAAAACUGUUAAAAAAUGUUUGAAAAACUACUAUACAAUGUCAGUUUUUACAGUUUUACAGUAGAACCGAAAGUACAGAAAGUGUCAGGACUGUUAGAAAGACCUCUUUUUUUACUUUAUUGGAUAUUUUUGUAUGUUUUGUUUCUCGUGAUCUGCAUUGUUUUGGUAUGAUUUUUAUGUUCGUUGUCCUUCUUGACGAAACCCUUCCCUUUCCAUUGGCCAUGUUGUACAACAAUUAUUAUAUUAUAUCUAUGAAAUGGUAUUUUAUUACAUGAACUAUUAUAUUAUUCCAUUUAUAUUUAUUAUGAUUAAGUUAUUUGUUAUAACAAUGAUAGGGUUGAGUUAGGGUUAUGUAUGGUAGUAAUUUGUUAUGGAUUUUGUUAUUUGUUCUCAUGUUAUUGUAAUAACAAUAAAUAACUGUGUUAUUUGUUAAUUAUUAAAAAUUUUAAUCAGAUUAAGCGUAAGUAAUUUUUUUACUUAUGAUUCUUUAUUAUCAUGAUUAAUCAAGAUCGUGUUGAUCUAGUGGCGGUAAAUGUUGACAGAACAUUGUGGGUUUUUUUUCUUUUUUUUUUCUUUUUCAGUGUGGUUUAGUGACUCCACUACAGUAUCUUCAUCACCGUGAGCUCUGUCCAUUGUCAUAUCCUGAAUGUCAACAGUUGGAGAUGACUUGCUAGAGUUCUUGACCUUUCGGCUCUGCCGUUAAAUUAAACUCGUUGUCUAAAUACAGCAUGAAACAUCUUCUGGGUUAGGGUAUUUUUCUUUCUUUCUUUUUUUUUUUUCUGUUGGUGGAGCUUCUUCCUAUUGACCUGCUUUAAUUAGAUCUAAAUUAGAGCCAGAUUUCUCAGUUUGUUACAGUGUCACAGAGAGUGGUUCCUGCUCAUAAAUCAUGUAUGAUUAGUCCAAGACCAGGACCACAGUUUGAAGGUGAGUUGGUUCCCUCAGGGAAUAUUUGAAUGUAUUACUUAUGUCAUUUUGUGUGUGUGUAUAUAUAUAUAUAUAUAUAUG